CUCAGGGUAGGAGGUGCCUCCUGUGACCAGAGCGUCCCAGCAGGGAAUGCUGCAGUCCAGCUGGGCAGAUCUCAGCCCAGUGUAUCUCCAUUACUAAAAACCUUACAGCCUUGCACGGCGGUAUCGGAUACCCUCUGCCACAUGAGGUGCGGAUGGUGCCUGCGUGAGGGCUCACAUCCCCAAACCCAAUGCUCCUUCACCCUGUGAGCUGUAUCCAUUGCUCUAGUGAGCUCCAUCACUCUGUUGGCUGUGUCCUGAGACACAAAGCUUUUUUUUUUUAAUUUAUUUUUUUAAAUGUUGUUGUGCAGAGUGAUGCUGCCUUGCAGCAGCAUCACAGAUGUGGAGCCUGGCUGCAGGGCAAGAGCUGCAGUGGGAUGGAUGCACCAUAGUAGGGUGUAAGAGGGUGGAAAUACUGACUGUGCUGAACUUAGGAAAACAGCCACCCUCACAUCUCCUUCAUCCUCUGAAACAAAUGAAAGCUGGGCUGAUAAAAUUCAUGAUGCUAUUCCCAGCUGUUUUGUUUAAAGGAAAGUUUCCUUACGUGCAAACUAACUGAAAACUAGAGAUGUAAUUGCUACAAAAUGUAAUAGUAUCUAGCGAAAAUUACAGCUACUCCAUGAAAUAUAUAUUUUCUCAGCAUCAGCAUAAAAGAAAGAACAUUCUCAUCCAGAAAUGGUAUGUAAAUAAAUAAACUCUAAUUGGUUUGACAAUGCCCCUUUUCCUGGCAGUGCCAAGAAUCCUAGCAUUGUAAUUACACAGUUCUGGGCAGACAUGUGGUUUCCAUUAAGAAAGACUUGUGAUUGACUGAGUUCAUGAGGCAUGUCAGAAAAAACACAUCAGUGUCUUUAUAAAAUGAAAAGAAAUAGAUCCAAACUUCCAACUUCAUGAGAAAUGUGCAUUUGUAAAUUGUCUGAAUGCAGCACAAGAAGUAGAAGUAAAACAAGUCGCUAUCAGGAAAACUUGCCAAAUCCGUGUUGGAAUGUAAACUUAAGCAACUAAACGCACCUACCUGUAUUUUUUGUAAAGAGAAGGAACUUGUUCUUGCUUUUAAAUUCUUCCCAACCGCUUCUUUUCCCCUGUUUCUAUUCAGCUUUGCAGUAAUUGAGAAUGCAUCCAAUAAAAGUGAAAAUGAUAUUCUAACACAUGUUGUUUCACCUCCAUCACAAAGAGCACUUAGAGCUAAGAAAGAAGCUUUAAGAGCAAAAAGAGGCACGCAGUUAUUUUGCUGUAAGGGAGGAAAUCAGCCUUGUUAGGUAAGGGAAAAUUUUAUCUGAGAGUAUUUUCAACUAAAAUUCUAAUGACUUGUUUUAAUCACUUAAAGCGACUAAAAUGUUGGAUAGUUUAUUUUCUGCCUUAGCAUAAAUACUUUCAAAAUGACAAACAUUUUAGGAUGCUGCCAAAUACUGUCAUCUCUUGGCAACCUUAACAUUUUAUGCUAGAUGUAUUUUUCUUGACAACAAAACAAUUCUGUCUGUUUCUCCUCUUCCCCCUCCUUGAAAGACACCAGUGGCAAACAGAGGGUGUUUUUUAACUGGAUUAUAUCCACGAUGACUCGCUUGUGUAUCAAUACAGAUUCAGAGUGUAGUGAAUUUUUGAAGAGGACUUUGAGGGUCACUGGCUGCGCCCUUCUACUAUUGUGCAAAGUAAGAUCUCUUUCUUGACCUUUCCCAAUUAAAAGAAAAACGGAGUUUUUGGUGACAAGGAGCAUUGCAUUUAUGGCUAGGUCAGUGCCCAUGGAGCUGUCCCACGUGUGACUCACUGCUCUGCCACAGGCUUCUGGCACGGAUGCAGACAAGCCAUGGAGUCUGUUUGUGCCUCCACCUCAUUGCUCUGAGGUUCAAAGCCACUAAUCACUGUGAAGUGCUGCAUGGCGUGGUGGUGAGGAGCAGAGAAAUACCUAGAAAGAUACGCAAAGUCUAGCAAGUGAUUUAAAUUGCACGCCGUGUCUGCUAAGGUUUUUAAUACUUUUUAAAGUUGUCCAAAUACUUUUAAACUUUUUAAUCCCGUUUAAACUCUUAAGAAACGUGAAUGAACAGCAGAGACUGUUCUGUUCAGGUAACUCUAGACAAUAUUGCCAAGGAAAAAAUGCAGUCUAACCCAUUGAAAUAUGAGAUGGGAGCUGAGUCAUAUACACACAAAUUUCUUAAUGUUUUAGAAAGGCUUAGCAGGUCAAGAUGUAGGAUAUUUUAAAAGUUCAUGUGGCAGAAUUACUUGUAGGAGAACAAGUGGAUCUUCUGGCUCAGGACAAAGAGCAUCCGAUCGCAUGCAGACCACUUCAGAGCUAGGUCAGUAUGUCAGUGGGCAACUCCAGCUUAUCUCUUGUUCUCUGGAGUUAAUUUAGAAAAGAGAAUUACUUAGAUCGUUCUCUUUGGAGUUGUCACUCCGAAAAGCCCAGCACCUGGAUGUAAGGGCUCGCCUGUCACCUUUGACAAAGCAGCCACUGGUAUUAAAUUUUCUUGCAGCAGAGAAACCUUUCUGGCAGCAGUGACUUUUACAAUGUAUUUUAGGAAAUGGCGGGAGCCACAUUCUCCAUUUUGAAGUGGGUCCUUGUAGCAGAAUUGCUGAGUCACAGCCUGAACAGUGAUUGAGCACCUGGUGGGAAGGAAGGGCCAGGCCAGGGAGCUCAGGUGCAUGGAAUGCAGCUGAAUGAUUGCAAGGGGUGGAGGAUCCAGCCCUUCUCAGACCUCAUUUAAGGGUUGGCAGUGGAGGUGGGGGUGUUUUGUUGGAGAUCUCUGCUUAGCUGAGGCCUUCUAAGGCAGGGAACUGGACAGGAAAGGUUAUCACCUGUUGGUCCUACCACCAGGAGCACGUGUUUGCUGAUGAGAACACCUGAAGGGGAGGAUUCAGGGUGCUAAUGCUGCUGGAAAUUCCUCCUUUGGGAUCCUGUGGUCCCUUUUCCUGAAUGUCUCCACAUUAUUUCAUCCCCUAAUAAUUAAACAUGCUUUCAGAGGCUGUUGCAGAUAGGUGAUCCUCCAAGCUUACUGCUCGAUCCCUUUACCUUUCUUCCUUUGCUCCCAUCACUGCUCAGUCUGUACCACUUGCUGAUACUGGAAGGAGGUUCCUCCAGGUGCAGCUGCCCUCUGUGUUAGUUUAUGACAGUUUCAGGAGUGCUGUACAGUCAGUGACACUUUCAGGAAGGCUGAUAAAUGAAUGUACCUUUUCAGAGAGUGCAUUUAUGUACUGAAAAACAGCUCGUGGCUCCUUCUGGCUGCUUUUUUUCUUUUUCUUUUAAACUUUCUAUUUCCAGGAAAUGUAACCAAGUAGGAGGCAAAGCGUUUUUGAGUGAAGCUGCCAAACAGAGCACUCGUUUUGUUUAACUACCUGCCUUGCAAAGCAAUGAUCUUACAUUUAGAAAGAAUUACAGUAGGGAAUAGUGAGCAAUGGGAAUGUGGAGUCCAGGUCCAUGUGCCUCUAAGAGUUACAGAAAUCCUCUUGAGGUGAAUGAGUUCUAAUGCACAUUGAGUUCAAUUUUUAAAAACUAUUUUGUGUUACUUUUUAAUGCUUCAGCUCUUUCUGCUUUAAUAUUUUAAGUUGUGAUUGUUUCCUGCCUGUUGGAUUUCCCCCCCACUGCUUCAGCCACACCUUACAGCUUAAUCCAUCGCAUUUCUUGUCCUCUGAGCAGCACUUCACAAUAAUAAUAAUA